GCUUACGGCCAUACCAGCCUGGGUACGCCCGAUCUCGUCUGAUCUCGGAAGCUAAGCAGGGUCAGGCCUGGUUAGUACUUGGAUGGGAGACCGCCUGGGAAUACCAGGUGCUGUAAGCA
rnacentral:rRNA from 1 species